CGGACGGGUGAGUAACGCGUGAGAAUCUAGCUUCAGGUCGGGGACAACCACUGGAAACGGUGGCUAAUACCGGAUGUGCCGAAAGGUGAAAGAUUUAUUGCCUGAAGAUGAGCUCGCGUCUGAUUAGCUAGUAGGUGUGGUAAGAGCGCACCUAGGCGACGAUCAGUAGCUGGUCUGAGAGGAUGAUCAGCCACACUGGGACUGAGACACGGCCCAGACUCCUACGGGAGGCAGCAGUGGGGAAUUUUCCGCAAUGGGCGAAAGCCUGACGGAGCAAUACCGCGUGAGGGAGGAAGGCUCUUGUGUUGUAAACCUCUUUUCUCAGGGAAUAAAAAAAUGAAGGUACCUGAGGAAUAAGCAUCGGCUAACUCCGUGCCAGCAGCCGCGGUAAUACGGAGGAUGCAAGCGUUAUCCGGAAUGAUUGGGCGUAAAGGGUCCGCAGGUGGCAAUGUAAGUCUGCUGUUAAAGAAUGAGGCUCAACCUCAUACCAGCAGUGGAAACUACAUAGCUAGAGUGCGUUCGGGGUAGAGGGAAUUCCUGGUGUAGCGGUGAAAUGCGUAGAUAUCAGGAAGAACACCAGUGGCGAAGGCGCUCUACUAGGCCGCAACUGACACUGAGGGACGAAAGCUAGGGGAGCGAAUGGGAUUAGAUACCCCAGCCUGAAUUC
rnacentral:rRNA from 1 species